AUGUACCUGCAGAAUUCCUGGAACCAGGAUCCUGCUAACCGGAAAAUGAAAUUGAGAUCAAGAUCCUUGAGCGUGGUGGUCUCGUCAAUCUGAUCAAGGGGCUUGUCUGUCAUGCGGCCAAGCGAAGAUCCUUUCAAGUCAAAACGCCGAUGGAUUGAAUAG
rnacentral:rRNA from 1 species